AAUCUUGCAACUUGUUUGAGUAAUUAGUGGCAACCAGAGGCCCUGCACUUUCUUGAGACAACUCUCUCUACUACAACAACGUUCAUCCACAAUAAUUUGGAAGGAGCUCUGGGUCAAUUUGCUUGUGGCAAUUAACAGGGGAUUUCAACCGGUAUUUCUGGAUCCUGAAAUAUCUAAUCAACUGAAAACCUGCGAAGAACAGAUAACUCAUCCAUCUGCUGCCAGCAUGAACAGGCACUCCCUCUCCAACUUCUGGACAUCAGGCGCCAGGAUUUCUAACAAUUUCUUCUGUGCCACUCACUUCAUCUGAAUCAGGGUUAGGUAGGACACACAAGUUGCUGCUACACUACACUUAACGUUUGUAGGGGGUUUGUGUGUUGUUGAUCACCUUUGAACAGCCAGAUGCAGGUGCUGGUUCACUUGUAUCUGCCUAGUGAUAUUGGGAUUAUCAUGAUGUGGGAUAGACAGUUUAUUACAGAUCGGCGGUAUAUUUCGAUUUAGUCAAUGCGAUAUUCAUAGUAAGGUCUGUCAAUGCCUACGCAGUUUUAGGAAAGUGCAAACACACAAAAAUAUUAACUUCAACCGAAACGAUUCAGAUAGCUGCACGACGUCAGAGAAGUCGUCUCCUCAAGACAGCUCCUACCCAUACACAAAGUUUUCCGUAAAUGUAAAUUGUAUUUCGACAUAUCCAAAACAGCAUGAAAUAUGAAGAAUUAUGUAAAGAAAUACUCACGUAACGAUUCACUUCGCCUGGGGGAAAUUGCAAACAAAACCCAAGGCUCGAGGAUUACAUAAGUGUUGGUAAGGCAAAUAUCAAAACAAUUAGUGGAUUGUUCUAAACACCCAUCCGAAUGUAAAAGAAAUAUUAUAAAAGGGGC